rnacentral:rRNA from 1 species
UACGUAGGGAGCAAGCGUUGUCCGGAAUCAUUGGGCGUAAAGCGCGCGUAGGUGGCUUCGUAAGUCCGUUGUGAAAGCCAAAGGCUCAACCUUUGAAAGCCGAUGGAUACUGUGAAGCUAGAGUACGGAAGAGGCGAGUGGAAUUCCUGGUGUAGCGGUGGAAUGCGCAGAUAUCAGGAGGAACACCAAUAGCGAAGGCAGCUCGCUGGGACGGUACUGACGCUGAGACGCGAAAGCGUGGGGAGCGAACAGG